rnacentral:rRNA from 1 species
UACAGAGGUCCCAAGCGUUGUUCGGAUUCAUUGGGCGUAAAGGGUGCGUAGGCGGCGCGGUAAGUCGGGUGUGAAAUCUCGGGGCUUAACUCCGAAACUGCAUUCGAUACUGCCGUGCUUGAGGACUGGAGAGGAGACUGGAAUUUACGGUGUAGCGGUGAAAUGCGUAGAUAUCGUAAGGAAGACCAGUGGCGAAGGCGGGUCUCUGGACAGUUCCUGACGCUGAGGCAUGAAGGCCAGGGGAGCAAACGGG